rnacentral:rRNA from 1 species
CGUUAAGUUGCAGGGUAUAGACCCGAAACCCGGUGAUCUAGCCAUGGGCAGGUUGAAGGUUGGGUAACACUAACUGGAGGACCGAACCGACUAAUGUUGAAAAAUUAGCGGAUGACCUGUGGCUGGGGGUGAAAGGCCAAUCAAACCGGGAGAUAGCUGGUUCUCCCCGAAAGCUAUUUAGGUAGCGCCUCGUGAAUUCAUCUCCGGGGGUAGAGCACUGUUUCGGCUAGGGGGCCAUCCCGGCUUACCAACCCGAUGCAAACUGCGAAUACCGGAGAAUGUUAUCACGGGAGACACACGGCGGGUGCUAACGUCCGUCGUGAAGAGGGAAACAACCCAGACCGCCAGCUAAGGUCCCAAAGUCAUGGUUAAGUGGGAAACGAUGUGGGAAGGCCCAGACAGCCAGGAUGUUGGCUUAGAAGCAGCCAUCAUUUAAAGAAAGCGUAAUAGCUCACUGGUCGAGUCGGCCUGCGCGGAAGAUGUAACGGGGCUAAACCAUGCACCGAAGCUGCGGCAGCGACGCUGAUGCGUUGUUGGGUAGGGGAGCGUUCUGUAAGCCUGUGAAGGUGGCCUGUGAGGGUUGCUGGAGGUAUCAGAAGUGCGAAUGCUGACAUAAGUAACGAUAAAGCGGGUGAAAAGCCCGCUCGCCGGAAGACCAAGGGUUCCUGUCCAACGUUAAUCGGGGCAGGGUGAGUCGACCCCUAAGGCGAGGCCGAAAGGCGUAGUCGAUGGGAAACGGGUUAAUAUUCCCGUACUUGGUGUUACUGCGAAGGGGGGACGGAGAAGGCUAUGUUGGCCGGGCGACGGUUGUCCCGGUUUAAGCGUGUAGGUGUGUGUUCCAGGUAAAUCCGGUUCACUUUAACACUGAGGCGUGACGACGAGGCACUACGGUGCUGAAGCAACAAAUGCCCUGCUUCCAGGAAAAGCCUCUAAGCAUCAGGUAACAUCAAAUCGUACCCCAAACCGACACAGGUGGUCAGGUAGAGAAUACCAAGGCGCUUGAGAGAACUCGGGUGAAGGAACUAGGCAAAAUGGUGCCGUAACUUCGGGAGAAGGCACGCUGACAUGUAGGUGAAGUGAUUUACUCAUGGAGCUGAAGUCAGUCGAAGAUACCAGCUGGCUGCAACUGUUUAUUAAAAACACAGCACUGUGCAAACACGAAAGUGGACGUAUACGGUGUGACGCCUGCCCGGUGCCGGAAGGUUAAUUGAUGGGGUCAGCGCAAGCGAAGCUCCUGAUCGAAGCCCCGGUAAACGGCGGCCGUAACUAUAACGGUCCUAAGGUAGCGAAAUUCCUUGUCGGGUAAGUUCCGACCUGCACGAAUGGCGUAAUGAUGGCCAGGCUGUCUCCACCCGAGACUCAGUGAAAUUGAACUCGCUGUGAAGAUGCAGUGUACCCGCGGCAAGACGGAAAGACCCCGUGAACCUUUACUAUAGCUUGACACUGAACAUUGAGCCUUGAUGUGUAGGAUAGGUGGGAGGCUUUGAAGUGUGGACGCCAGUCUGCAUGGAGCCGACCUUGAAAUACCACCCUUUAAUGUUUGAUGUUCUAACGUGGACCCGUAAUCCGGGUUGCGGACAGUGUCUGGUGGGUAGUUUGACUGGGGCGGUCUCCUCCUAAAGAGUAACGGAGGAGCACGAAGGUUGGCUAAUCCUGGUCGGACAUCAGGAGGUUAGUGCAAUGGCAUAAGCCAGCUUGACUGCGAGCGUGACGGCGCGAGCAGGUGCGAAAGCAGGUCAUAGUGAUCCGGUGGUUCUGAAUGGAAGGGCCAUCGCUCAACGGAUAAAAGGUACUCCGGGGAUAACAGGCUGAUACCGCCCAAGAGUUCAUAUCGACGGCGGUGUUUGGCACCUCGAUGUCGGCUCAUCACAUCCUGGGGCUGAAGUAGGUCCCAAGGGUAUGGCUGUUCGCCAUUUAAAGUGGUACGCGAGCUGGGUUUAGAACGUCGUGAGACAGUUCGGUCCCUAUCUGCCGUGGGCGCUGGAGAACUGAGGGGGGCUGCUCCUAGUACGAGAGGACCGGAGUGGACGCAUCACUGGUGUUCGGGUUGUCAUGCCAAUGGCACUGCCCGGUAGCUAAAUGCGGAAGAGAUAAGUGCUGAAAGCAUCUAAGCACGAAACUUGCCCCGA